AACGAACGCUGGCGGCAUGCCUAACACAUGCAAGUCGAACGAGACCUUCGGGUCUAGUGGCGCACGGGUGCGUAACGCGUGGGAACCUGCCCUUAGGUUCGGAAUAACUCCCCGAAAGGGGUGCUAAUACCGGAUAAUGUCUUCGGACCAAAGAUUUAUCGCCUUUGGAUGGGCCCGCGUUGGAUUAGCUAGUUGGUAGGGUAAAAGCCUACCAAGGCGACGAUCCAUAGCUGGUCUGAGAGGAUGAUCAGCCACACUGGGACUGAGACAAGGCCCAGACUCCUGCGGGGGGCCGCAAGUGGGAAAUUUGGGCAAGGGGGCAAAGCCUGAUCCCGCAAGUCCGGGGGAGGGGUGAAGGCCUUAGGGUUGUAAAGCUCUUUUUCCCGGGAUGGAAAGGCCCGUACCGGGAGAAAAAGCCCCGGCUAACCCCGU
rnacentral:rRNA from 1 species